UAAUACAUGCAAGUCGAACGCUUUGUGGUUCAACUGAUAUGAAGAGCUUGCUCGGAUUUGAAGAUGAACAUUGCAAAGAGUGGCGAACGGGUGAGUAACACGUGGGAAACCUACCUCUUAGCGGGGGAUAACACUUGGAAACAAGUGCUAAUACCGCAUAAUACUGAUAACCGCAUGGUUAUCAGUUGAAAGAUGGUUCUGCUAUCACUAAGAGAUGGUCCCGCGGUGUAUUAGCUAGUUGGUAAGGUAAUGGCUUACCAAGGCAAUGAUACAUAGCCGAGUUGAGAGACUGAUCGGCCACAAUGGGACUGAGACACGGCCCAUACUCCUACGGGAGGCAGCAGUAGGGAAUCUUCCACAAUGGACGAAAGUCUGAUGGAGCAACGCCGCGUGUGUGAUGAAGGGUUUCGGCUCGUAAAACACUGUUGUAAGAGAAGAAUGACAUUGAGAGUAACUGUUCAGUGUGUGACGGUAUCUUACCAGAAAGGAACGGCUAAAUACGUGCCAGCAGCCGCGGUAAUACGUAUGUUCCAAGCGUUAUCCGGAUUUAUUGGGCGUAAAGCGAGCGCAGACGGUUGUUUAAGUCUGAAGUGAAAGCCCACAGCUUAACUGUGGAAGUGCUUUGGAAACUGGAUAACUUGAGUGCAGUAGAGGAGAGUGGAACUCCAUGUGUAGCGGUGAAAUGCGUAGAUAUAUGGAAGAACACCAGUGGCGAAGGCGGCUCUCUGGACUGUAACUGACGUUGAGGCUCGAAAGUGUGGGUAGCAAACAGGAUUAGAUACCCUGGUAGUCCACACCGUAAACGAUGAGUGCUAGAUGUUUGAGGGUUUCCGCCCUUAAGUGUCGCAGCUAACGCAUAAGCACUCCGC
rnacentral:rRNA from 1 species